AUAUUAAAACACUAGUUCCUGUACAAUCACAGAAGUUAAGCAACAUUGAGCCGGGUCAGUACAUAGAUGGGUGACUGCCUGGAAAUACCACGUGCUGUAAG